CAUCCUCGUAGUAGCACAGAUUACUAACCACAGAUUACUGUCUGUGGUAGUAGAUUCGCUUUUUCAAAAGAUGGUCACACUACUCACACUGCUUCCAGUUCUUUCUUCAGUUCACAGAUCCACACAUAGAACAAAAAUGGGUGGAACAACAACCCAACAUGUUUACAGUUCAUGAGAACUUUUGAAAGGCUUUUGCUACAGUUUUCCAAAGGAUGACAAAUUAAGGGAAAUGUAGAUGAAAGCUGUAGGAAGAAUUGAUUUCCACCCUUCUUCCUCGUUGAAAAUAUGCAGUAUGGAUUAAACAUACCAUCAUGCGGUUUUACGAAGAUCUGCAGAGGAAUUGAGAUAGCCAUAAAAAACUUUGAGUGUGACGGAUAAUAGAGUUCCUGCUGAAAACAAAUUUCUUAAUGCUUUUAUCACUGCCAAUGCUUAACAUUAUUACCCACUGAUGACUAAUUUAUUUCCUGAAUUAGAUGACCAUUUUUAUGAAUCAUCCCCUGUGGGUGUUAAUAAUGGAUUUCUAUUGAUCAAGGAGAUAGUAAAAGCCUAUUUCAAAACUAGGGUUUUCAAUCUUGCGAAAAAAUGUACUCAAAAAUACAAGGUCAAUCUGUUCGACAGCAGCUUACAAAAUUUAUUUUAUUUAAUCACCAAUAAUGUAUAUUAGGUAUAUUUCCCAUUCCUGCAUGAUGAAUUUGUCAAUUUUAAGUUCAGAGUCUCAAUUCAGAAAAACUAAUUUUUAAUAUUAUAUUUUCCAUUCACCACUGAUUUCAGGAUAAAUUUCUCCAGUUGAAAUUCUUAUUGUAAACUUCUCGAAUGUUUAAAUUGUCAAGAAUUAUUUUGUAUAGUAUUUUAGGCUUAAUUGCCACUAGUUACCAAUUGCACUUGUGGAUCAGAAAUAAAGACUUCAUAAUAUCAAUGACUUGCAGAACAUUGAUUAAUUUUCUAUUGUACAGUUUUUACUAUAUCAAAUAUAUAUUCUUUAUUUGUUAUAAAUUUCAUUGAAUAAUUCCAUUCAAGCUUAAACACUAGGUUUUACGCAAUAUACUCAUUAUCUCUAUGUUCGUGGAGGAGUAAAAUAUAAUUUUGAUACUAA